AUAAAACUAGCAUCAAAAUGCCCAACAGCAGAGACCCUAGCUGCCAAUAAGACAUCAAUUUUCUAAUGUUUUGCCUUAACUAAAUGUGCCUUUCAGCUGUGACUUCAAAAAUACGAGACUCAGGUUUCUUAUGGGUAACGCGCCAAGAUAACUAUAUAUAAUUACAGAACUAGAAAACAGGGGCAAUGCAAGAGGCAGAAAUUGCAUCAUGUCAGCUGUUCAAAGCCGGAGGUCGAAACAUUAUUUGGUUUUGGAGUAGGACAACCAGUAUGCUUGUUGGUUUUGUUCUUCUCCUCUGCCUGUGUGGAAGUCAAUUUCUCGCUGUGAAACAAACUUUCACCCAAUUCUGACUCAUGUUUCCUCUUCACUUUCUUUUUUGGCACCGCAUCUGCUCCUCGUGGAUCAACAGAGCUGCCAGAAACUCCCUUUAGCUUCUCCUGCUUUAGACGAUUCACAUCAGAACCAUUAGCUAUGGAAACAUGCACUCGUGCAGAAGCAUUUACAGCUGCACUACUGUAUACUGGCUUGUUUGUUGAAGUUGAAGAAUGAUCAACUACAAUCUUUUCUUGGAUAUGCACCGACUGGGCAAUAGGUCCAGCAUCUACUCUACUAGUAUCCCCUUCCUUUGUGGCCAAUAAUUUGUUCCUCCUAAUUUUCUCUCCGUCCUUACGUCGUGCGUGCAAUGCUCUCCUCCUAUCUUUUGCUCUACAUAUAGCACGUUUAAUACCAUGAUUGUCCAUAAAUCCAUUUGGCCAACAUCCUGCAAGCUCUGCAUACAACUUUCUGACUUGUGGACCAGCAUCUUCAUCCAGGCCCUCAACAAAAUGAUCAUAAAGGUCACAUAUUUUGUCUUCCAAUGCAACAUCCAUGCUGUAUUUUCUCUUAAAGGCUUCUUUCUCUUCAGCACUUGCUUCUUGGAAGUCAUCAGAAGCUCCAGCUUGUUGUUCAAGUAACUUUGAUUUCAUUACUGGAAUCCGCAACUUAAUCAUCUCAGCAACUUCCCUCUUUAUGUGCUGAACUCUGUUAUCUUUCUCUUGUUUUGCUGACAG
rnacentral:misc_RNA from 1 species